rnacentral:rRNA from 1 species
GACGAACGCUGGCGGCGUGCCUAACACAUGCAAGUCGAGCGAACGGACGCUGAUCUUGCGUCUCUGAUGUUAGCGGCGGACGGGUGAGUAACACGUGGAUAACCCACCUAUAAGACUGAGAUAUCUUCGGGAAACCGGAUCUUAUACCGGAUAAUAUUUUGAACCGCAUGGUUCAAAAGUUAAUGACGGUCUUGCUGUCCCUUAUAGCUGGAUCCCCGCUGCUUUAGUUAGUUGGUAAGUUAACGGCUUACCAAGGCAGCGAUGCAUAGCCGACGUGAGAGAGUGAUCGGCGACACGGGAACUGAGACGCGGUCCUGACGCCUACGGGAGGCAGCAGUAGGGAAGCGUGCGCAGUGGGGGGAAACCUGACGGAGCGACGCCACGUGAGUGCUGAAAGUCUUCGGAUCGGAAAAAUGUCUUAUGGGUGAAGAACAUAUGUGUAAGUAACUGAGCACAUCUUGACGGUACCUAGUCAGAAAGCCACGGCUAACUACGUG